rnacentral:tRNA from 1 species
GAGCGGUUGGUGUAAGUGGUAGGCACGGUGGUCUGAAGAACCACAGGUUGAGGUUCGACGCCUCAACCGCUCACCA